GACACGCCCUUCGUCAUCAUAGAAUUGAGCACCUAAUGCUUGUAACAUACCUGCACCAGCGUCAAAACUAUCAAUCCCACCUAAUGAAAUUACAACAUGUUUUGCGUCAUUAUCUAAUGCAUGUUUAAUCAUUUCUCCUAAACCAUAACUUGUUCGUUCAACAAUUGGUUUUUUACCUUUUAAAAAUAAAUUCCCCUCGAU
rnacentral:sRNA from 1 species